rnacentral:rRNA from 1 species
CCUACGGGUGGCAGCAGUGGGGAAUAUUGGACAAUGGGGGGAACCCUGAUCCAGCCAUGCCGCGUGUGUGAAGAAGGCCCUCGGGUUGUAAAGCACUUUCAGUGAGGAAGAACGCCUGGUGGUUAAUACCCAUCAGGAAAGACAUCACUCACAGAAGAAGCACCGGCUAACUCCGUGCCAGCAGCCGCGGUAAUACGGAGGGUGCGAGCGUUAAUCGGAAUUACUGGGCGUAAAGCGCGCGUAGGUGGCUUGAUAAGCCGGUUGUGAAAGCCCCGGGCUCAACCUGGGAACGGCAUCCGGAACUGUCAAGCUAGAGUGCAGGAGAGGAAGGUAGAAUUCCCGGUGUAGCGGUGAAAUGCGUAGAGAUCGGGAGGAAUACCAGUGGCGAAGGCGGCCUUCUGGACUGACACUGACACUGAGGUGCGAAAGCGUGGGUAGCAAACAGGAUUAGACACCCCGGUAGUC